UAAUGAAGGUGAAUUGCCCUUUAAGCUGCAAGUAGGUUUGCCACCUUUUAAUAAUUGACACCGGCCGGUGGAGGGGACGGGAACAAAAGGGCGGGCAGUGACGUCAAAAGGGGCGGAGCCACGGAGUGCGAUUGGAUGGUGCGGAUAAUGAAGUCAAAGGGGGCAGAGCCACAGCGUGCGAUUGGCCAGAAGCCGACAAAAAGAUAUCUGCAAUUACAUGACACAGAUGGUCUACCUACAUUAAAUAGGACUGCUUGCUUUUUUUUGCCUACAGUAAUUCCGAGGGCCCAAUCAAGUACAAGGAAGAAUUGUAGUCAGUAAGUUGAACUGAAGAUAAUGAAACCCCCUUCAAUCGGAGAAACAAAGCAGUUCCCCAGUUAAAAGUCAAGUAUGCUCAGCCCAAAUUCAAUGUAUUAAAAGCUCAUGUUGCAAAACUGUCCAUUUCAAUCUCCUAUAAAUAAACGUCAGUGACAUAUUA